rnacentral:rRNA from 1 species
AAGAGUGCGUAACAGCUCACUGGUCUAGUGGUUCCGCGCCGACAAUGUAGCGGGGCUCAAGCACACCACCGAAGACGCGGCAGUAUUUUGUACUGGGUAGGAGAGCGUCCCAUGAGGGGCGAAGCGGCCGUGUGAACGCGCCGUGGACUUCAUGGGAGUGAGAAUGCAGACAUGAGUAGCGAGAGACGGGUGAAGAUCCCGUCCGCUGGAUGACCAAGGGUUCCAGGGCCACGUUCAUCGUCCCUGGGUGAGUCGGGUCCUAAGGCGAGGCCGACAGGCGUAGUCGAAUGGAUGAACGGGUCGAUAUUCCCGUACCGGCUUUCAGCCGCCAAAACCGAGGCUUGGAGUACUAACCUCCGGGUCCGGGCUUACUGCUCCUUCGGGGGCGGGAUGCCCUGGCCUGUUGGGACCGAUCCUUGUAGUAGGUCAGCGCAGGAGUGACGCAGAAGGGUAGCCGGCCGCGGAGGUGGUCUUCCGUGGUCAAGCACGCAGGGCGUGGGACAGGCAAAUCCGUCCCGCAUGGGUCCGAGGUGCGAUGAUGGGGGCCUUAUGGCCCGAUAUCCGGUGAUCCCGGCUGCCGAGAAAAGCUUCGGCGUCAGGCUCAAAGCCGCCCGUACCCCAAACCGACACUGGUGGUCAGGUAGAGAAUACCAAAGCGAUCGAGCGAAUCCUGGUCAAGGAACUCGGCAAAUCACUCCCGUUCCUUCGGUUUAAGGGAGACCCCCGAUGGUGAACACGCUUGCUGUGGGAGCUUUUGGGGGUGGCACAGACCAGGGGGUAGCGACUGUUUACCAAAAACACAGGUGCAUGCGAAGGCGCAAGCCGCUGUAUAUGCACUGACGCCUGCCCGGUGCCGGAAGGUUAAGAGGAUCCGUCAGCCUUCGGGUGAAGCGGUGAAUUCAAGCCCCGGUAAACGGCGGUGGUAACUAUAACCAUCCUAAGGUAGCGAAAUUCCUUGUCGGGUAAGUUCCGACCUGCACGAAUGGCGUAACGACUUCCCCACUGUCUCGACCAGGAGCUCGGCGAAAUUGCAGUACGAGUAAAGAUGCUCGUUAAGCGCAGAAGGACGAAAAGACCCCGGGACCUUUACUAUACCUUGGUAUUGGCAUUCGGUGUGGAUUGUGUAGCAUAGGCGGGAGGCCGAGAGGCGCGGUCGCCAGAUCGCGCGGAGCCGUAAGGUGAAAUACCGCUCUGUUCGCAUUGGAUGUCUAACCUCGAACAGUCAUCCUGUUCAGGGACAGUGCCUGGCGGGUAGUUUAACUGGGGCGGUUGCCUCCCAAAGAGUAACGGAGGCGCCCAAAGGUCCGCUCAGCCCGGUUGGCAAUC